GUGGGGAAUAUUCCGCAAUGGACGAAAGUCUGACGGAGCAACGCCGCGUGAGUGAUGAAGGUUUUCGGACUGUAAAGCUCUGUUGUUUAGGACGAAAGUGCCUGUUGCAAAUAGUUACAGGUAUUGACGGUACUGAACGAGGAAGCCACGGCUAACUACGUGCCAGCAGCCGCGGUAAUACGUAGGUGGCAAGCGUUGUACGGAAAUAUUGGGCGUAAAGAGCAUGUAGGCGGGAAUCUAAGUCUGUUGUGAAAAUGCGGGGCUCAACCCCGUAUUGCGAUGGAAACUGGGUUUCUUGAGUGCAGGAGAGGAAAGGGGAAUUCCCAGUGUAGCGGUAAAAUGCGUAGAUAUUGGGAGGAACACCAGUGGCGAAGGCGCCUUUCUGGACUGUGUCUGACGCUGAGAUGCGAAAGCCAGGGUAGCGAACGGGAUUAGAUACCCCAGUAGUCC
rnacentral:rRNA from 1 species